GGUUGAUAUUCCCGUACCGGUGUUGAUGCGUCCAUGCUGAGGCCGGGUGUGCUAACCAUCUGAUCGCAGGCAUCCUUUAGGGGGUGUGUGUGGGAGGGUGGGGUCCCGUCUGGUAGUAGGCAAGCGAUGGGGUGACGCAGGAGGGUAGUCCAGCCCAGGCGGUGGUUGUCCUGGGGCAAGGGUGUAGGACGGAACGUAGGCAAAUCCGCGUUUCAUGUGUCUGAGACCUGAUGCCGAGCC
rnacentral:rRNA from 1 species